rfam:Triticum aestivum genome assembly, contig: Triticum_aestivum_CS42_TGACv1_scaffold_409425_5BL
AUUCUACUCCCCCCGUUGCACAAUACAUGCCUUCUAUUUGUCAAAAUAUAUAUGUAUCUAGACAUGUUUUAGUAUAUAGGUACAUCAAUUUUUGGAAAAAUGGAAGUCAAGUAUUUUGGAACGAAGGGAGUACACA